rnacentral:rRNA from 1 species
AUGGAAGCAAUGGUGGCCGUGGCUGUGCUUGUGCCUUGGCUAGCAUGGCUCAUCGUCUCUUUCCUUUCCCUCUACCUCCUCAGCCUCCUCGCGCACGCGCGCUCCGGCCUCCCUCCGGGCCCCCGCCCACUGCCGCUCAUCGGCAGCAUCCACCUUCUCGGCGACAAGCCGCACCGCUCUCUUGCUCGCCUAGCCAAGAUCCACGGCCCGCUCAUGUCCAUCCGCCUCGGCACGGUCACCACGGUCGUCGUCUCCUCCCCCACCAUGGCCCGGGAGUUCCUGCAGAGGCAUGACUCCGUGCUCGCCGCCCGGUCCGUGCCUCACGCCACCGGCAAGCACGCGCUAGGCUCCGUCGCCUGGCUGCCCCCCGUGCCGCGGUGGCGCGCGCUCCGCAAGAUAAUGGCCACGGAGCUGUUCGCGCCGCAGCGGCUCGACGCGCUCCACCACCUCCGGAGCGAAAGGUGA